CGGAGGGUGCAAGCGUUGUCCGGAUUUAUUGGGUUUAAAGGGUGCGUAGGCGGCCCGUUAAGUCCGUGGUGAAAGCCAACAGCUCAACUGUUGAACUGCCAUGGAUACUGACGGGCUUGAGUACAGACGAGGUAGGCGGAAUGGAUGGUGUAGCGGUGAAAUGCAUAGAUACCAUCCAGAACACCGAUUGCGUAGGCAGCUUACUAGGCUGUAACUGACGCUGAGGCACGAAAGCGUGGGGAGCGAACAGGAUUAGAUACCCUGGUAGUCCACGCUGUAAACGAUGAUUACUCGAUGUUGGCGAUACACAGUCAGCGUCUUAGCGAAAGCGUUAAGUAAUCCACCUGGGGAGUACGCCCGCAAGGGUG
rnacentral:rRNA from 1 species